rnacentral:misc_RNA from 1 species
AACGCACAUUGCGCCCAUCAGAAUUCUGGUGGGCAUGCCUGUCCGAGCGUCAUUUUACCACUUAAGCCUUGUCGCUUAGUGUUGGGAGCCUACCGGCACUGCUUGUAGCUCCUCAAAGAUAGUGGCGGAGUCGUCCCUGUGCCUCAGACGUAGUAGAUCUCAUCUCGUCUGUGGCCGGGAUGGUCCCCUGCCGUAAAACGCCCCGACCUCUCAGGGUUGACCUCGGAUCAGGUAGGAAUACCCGCUGAACUUAA